rnacentral:lncRNA from 1 species
UCUAGAAUCAUUAUAUAUAUUAUAAGCAUAAAAUGAGUUUAAUGUAUGUGCUUUGAAAAGAAGGGGAAAACAGAAAAUCAGGGAAGACUGAUUUUAAUGCUGCUCAGAAUGAUUUUGAAAUUUUCUACUCAUCUUUGUUACUAACUGUGCAUUUUCCAUGAAAUUUAGGAAUGACAUGUACUGCUUUCAUCUCCUUAAAAUUAAUAUACUGCGCUCUCUGUUUUUCUCAGUUUCUUCAAAGUUCUUUUUAGAGCACUAUGCAAAGAAAGAGAAAGAAAUUCUCCACUCUGUGUGAACACAUCUGCUAUUAAUGCUGAGGGGAGUUAAGUGUCCGCUUCUACAGGAGAAUUCACCCCAGUGUUCUAUACUGAAAGAGGUUGGAACCUAAUUUAUCCAGAAGCUGGGGAGGACCUGAACUGGCUCUAGCAGUUCUGAAAGACCGAAAAAGCAACAGAACUUUCCUCUUAACAAAACUGGUACAUUCAAGGAGAAGCUGCAGGAAUCAGUCUAAGUUACCACUGAUGAUGAAAUGUCAAACCAUUCUGGCAGGCACUUGUUCAGUCUUAAGGAGCUUUAAAUUACUUCACAGCUUGAGAUUCCAGGUAAGUAGGGAUGUUCCAAGAUUUAGCCUAAUUGAUGCUUCUUGGGCAAU